GACAGAGGGUGCAAACGUUGUUCGGAAUUACUGGGCGUAAAGCGCGUGUAGGCGGCAGCGUGUGUCGGGCGUGAAAUCCCACGGCUCAACCGUGGAAGUGCACCCGAAACUGCGCAGCUAGAGUCCUGGAGAGGAAGGCGGAAUACUUGGUGUAGAGGUGAAAUUCGUAGAUAUCAAGUGGAACACCGGUGGCGAAGGCGGCCUUCUGGACAGUGACUGACGCUGAGGAGCGAAAGCCAGGGGAGCAAACGGG
rnacentral:rRNA from 1 species